UACGAAGGGGGCUAGCGUUGCUCGGAAUCACUGGGCGUAAAGCGCACGUAGGCGGAUUGCUAAGUCAGGGGUGAAAUCCUGGAGCUCAACUCCAGAACUGCCUUUGAUACUGGCAACCUUGAGUCCGGGAGAGGUGAGUGGAACUGCGAGUGUAGAGGUGAAAUUCGUAGAUAUUCGCAAGAACACCAGUGGCGAAAGGCGGCUUACUGGUCCCGG
rnacentral:rRNA from 1 species